UACGGAGGGUGCAAGCGUUAUCCGGAUUCACUGGGUUUAAAGGGUGCGUAGGCGGGUUGGUAAGUCAGUGGUGAAAUCUCCGAGCUUAACUUGGAAACUGCCAUUGAUACUAUCAGUCUUGAAUACCGUGGAGGUUAGCGGAAUAUGUCAUGUAGCGGUGAAAUGCUUAGAUAUGACAUAGAACACCAAUUGCGAAGGCAGCUGGCUACACGAAUAUUGACACUGAGGCACGAAAGCGUGGGGAUCAAACAGG
rnacentral:rRNA from 1 species